rnacentral:rRNA from 1 species
UCUUGUACUCACCGCCCGUCAAGUCAAGGGAGCUGGGGAUGCCCGAAGGUCUGCCUCGCGCAGGACUACGGCAAAUUCAGUGACAAGGACU